GGAGGGAUGGCCGAGUGGUCGAUGGCGGCGGUCUUGAAAACCGUUGGAUGAAAGUCUCGCGGGUUCGAAUCCUGCUCCCUCCGCCA
rnacentral:tRNA from 5 species